UACGAGGGGGGCGAGCGUUGUUCGGAAUUAUUGGGCGUAAAGGGUGCGUAGGCGGUUUGGUAAGUCUGAUGUGAAAUCUAUGGGCUCAACUCAUAGUCUGCAUCGGAAACUGCCGGGCUUGAGUAUGGGAGAGGUGAGUGGAAUUCCUGGUGUAGCGGUGAAAUGCGCAGAUAUCAGGAGGAACACCGGUGGUGUAGACGGCUCUCUGGACCGUAACUGACGCUGAGACACGAAAGCGUGGGUAGCAAACAGG
rnacentral:rRNA from 1 species